rnacentral:rRNA from 1 species
UACGUAGGGUGCAAGCGUUAUUCGGAAUUACUGGGCGUAGAGCGUGCGCAGGCGGUUAUGUAAGUCAGUUGUGAAAUCCCCGGGCUCAACCUGGGAACUGCAUCUGUGACUGCAUAGCUAGAGUACGGUAGAGGGGGAUGGAAUUCCGCGUGUAGCAGUGAAAUGCGUAGAUAUGCGGAGGAACACCGAUGGCGAAGGCAAUCCCCUGGACCUGUACUGACGCUCAUGCACGAAAGCGUGGGGAGCAAACAGG